CUUGAACGCUGGCGGCAUGCCUUACACAUGCAAGUCGAACGGUAACGCGGGGGCAACCCUGGCGACGAGUGGCGAACGGGUGAGUAAUACAUCGGAACAUAUCCAGUAGCGGGGGAUAACCUAUCGAAAGAUUGGCUAAUACCGCAUACGAUCUACGGAUGAAAGCGGGGGACCGCAAGGCCUCGCACUAUUGGAGUGGCCGAUGUCAGAUUAGCUAGUUGGUGGGGUAAAAGCCCACCAAGGCGACGAACUGUAGCUGGUCUGAGAGGACGAUCAGCCACGAGGGAAACGGGACACGGUCCAGACUCCUACGGGAGGCAGCAGUGGGGAAUUUUGGACAAUGGGCGAAAGCCUGAUCCAGCCAUGCCGCGUGAGUGAAGAAGGCCUUCGGGUUGUAAAGCUCUUUCGGUGAAGACGAAACGGUUAGCGCUAAUAACGCUGACUAAUGACGGUACUCACAGAAGAAGCACCGGCUACCUACGUGCCAGCCGCCGCGGUAACAC
rnacentral:rRNA from 1 species